AAAACGACUCUCGGCAACGGAUAUCUCGGCUCUCGCAUCGAUGAAGAACGUAGCGAAAUGCGAUACUUGGUGUGAAUUGCAGAAUCCCGCGAACCAUCGAGUCUUUGAACGCAAGUUGCGCCCGAAGCCAUUUGGCCGAGGGCACGUCUGCCUGGGCGUCAC
rnacentral:rRNA from 3 species